rnacentral:rRNA from 1 species
UAAGGAAUAUUGGUCAAUGGACGGAAGUCUGAACCAGCCAUGCCGCGUGGAGGAUGACGGCCCUCUGGGUUGUAAACUUCUUUUAUCUGGGACGAAACACUUCUUUUCUAAGGAGCUUGACGGUACCAGGUGAAUAAGCACCGGCUAACUCCGUGCCAGCAGCCGCGGUAAUACGGAGGGUGCAAGCGUUAUCCGGAUUCACUGGGUUUAAAGGGUGCGUAGGUGGAUAUGUAAGUCCGUGGUGAAAUCUCUAAGCUUAACUUAGAAACUGCCCUGGAUACUAUAUGUCUUGAAUGUUGUGGAGGUUAGCGGAAUAUGUCAUGUAGCGGUGAAAUGCAUAGAUAUGACAUAGAACACCAAUUGCGAAGGCAGCUGGCUACCCAACGAUUGACACUGAGGCACGAAAGCGUGGGGAUCAAACA